GCGAACAUAGUUUAACUAAAACAUUAGAUUGUGAUUCUAAUAAUAGGGGUUCAAAUCCUCUUGUUCACC
rnacentral:tRNA from 1 species